rnacentral:tRNA from 1 species
GAGGGUAUAGCUUAGUGGUAGAGCACAUGCUUAGCAUGCAUGAGGUCCUGGGUUCAAUCCCCAGUACCUCCU